rnacentral:rRNA from 11 species
CCAGAGGCUUAAAAUCCCUUAAGGCACCAGAUCCUAUCUGACCUUGGAUGCUAAGCAGAGUCAGCUCUGGUUAGUCCUUGGAUGGGGGAUUAGUAAUGAACUCCAGGUGCUCAACUGGC